rnacentral:lncRNA from 1 species
GUAUACUGCUUUCGCCACAUGAAGGGUCGCCGUAUCAUGGCUCACCCUGCCGCUGUGGUGUAUCCGUCUGUGUCCAACGCUUUUCCCAUUUGAUGAUCGGCGUGCGCGCGGUGGACGCAAAAACUGUGUAGAUGUGCUGUUCUUGAUCUACUUGCAGUAAUAAUAGUAACAGUAAUCUACGUGGUUGAGUUGUGUAAAUGGUUUCUGGAGUAUUUGGUGAUUAAUGAAACGGAAAAUGUGGUGUUGCAGAAAAGGAAUGUGGAAAAUAUAAACAAAUAUUGCUGCGUGGAUGCCCAUUUUUCAUGCAUGACACGUGUUUUUGUUCCAUCAUACUUUUGGGAUUUUGAUUCCAUCGUAAUAAUCCACCCGGUAUAUGUGGGAAUCAGCAGGGAUUGAAAAAUCGGAAUUUAUCGGCGAUAUUUCGCCGAAAUAUCGGAUAUCGGUCGCCCCGAUUAUCGAUUUCCAGGAAUAUCGUCAAAAAAUCGGCCAACUGGAGGAGGAUUUCAAAAAAUCGCCAAAAAAAUCGCCGAUAUUUCAGUAUUUUUAUCGGGAAAUUUCCCGAUAUUUCCUACCAGUUCAGCCCGCGCAUAGGAUACAAAAUCUGUCCAUUUUUUUUUAAAAAAAAAGACAUAAGAUGCUAUUUGGUAAUCUGAUCAUGAUUUGCAGGCAAAGGUUUUGUUUUUCAGCCUGGCUCAAAAAUCGUGGAUUUAGGGUUCGUGAAAUUUAAAUCCAAUGGCACAACAGCAAAACAGAUCCAGAAAACAGAGGGAGCAAAAGAAAAGCAAUUUUUUGGUUUUCCUUGGAGGUUUUGCAUGGAUUUUCUCGGAAAUCAAACGAGGAUGAAUUUUCCCGGAAAUCGAAUUGGGGAUGGUUUUUCUUGGGAAUCAAACGGGGGUUGCAAAAAUAAUAAUAAUAACAAGAUUAGAUUAGUACCUGCGAGGAUUGAGAGUGGCAGAGGAAAAUAGGGCUUUUUUAGGGAUUCUCUCGUCUGGAGCUUGAUGCCCGAGUGAGAGAAGUCGGUGGCCCGAGUGAGAGAGGUCGGUGGCCCUUUUGAUUUUUAGAUUUAGUAGAGAUAAAAAAAAUAAACAAAUCAUGAGAACAAUUUUCCUCUCUCUAUGUAAAUAAUUAUUAAUUAUCCAC